AUUCUUUUGAAUUUUUCUAAUUUCCUUUUUACUUCUUUAAAUAUACUAUAACCCUUUUUAGGAAUUUUCUUUUUAGUUUCAACUAUUUUUUUCUCAUUCGUCUCUAUUUUGCACUAUUUUCAGAUCUCUACUUGAAUACUAAUGCAAGAACAAUGUCUCAUUUUGUGCAUGGAGAAGUAUACGUCUUGGACGACGGAGAAGAUGUUAGAAAGCAUCCUUUAAUCAAGCUUAGUUUGUUUAGAUGUGUACAUUUUGUUUCACUUGAAUUUAAUUAAUAUGUUUUUAACAACAGUGUUAAAUCUUGCUUGAAAUUGUAGUUACAGAGUUAAAUUUUCCUCAUU
rnacentral:lncRNA from 1 species